rnacentral:rRNA from 1 species
GACGAACGCUGGCGGCGUGCUUAACACAUGCAAGUCGAACGGUGAAGCACCUUCCUUUUGGUGGGUGUGGAUGAGUGGCGAACGGGUGAGUAACACGUGAGUAACCUUCCCCCUUCUUCUGGAUAACCGCAUGAAAGUGUGGCAAAUACGGGAUAUUCUGUGCCUGCUGCAUGGUGGGUGUGGUAAAGAUGCGCUGUUGGGUGUUUUUGGUGGGGCAUGGGGUGGCGGGGUAUCGGCUUGUGGGUGGGGUGAUGGCUUAGCAAGUCGGUGAGGGGUAGCCGGUUGGAGGGGGUGCGGGGUGACACGGGGACUGGGACACGGGCCAGAGUGCUACGGGAGGCAGCAGUGGGGAAUAUUGCACAAGGGGAGCAAGCCUGAUGCAGCGACGCCGGGUGAGGGAAGGAGGCCUUCGGGAUGUAGACCUCUUUGGCGAGUGAAGCAGGCCUGUCCCUUGUGGGUGGGUUGACGGUAGCUGGAUAAGAAGCGCCGGCUAACUACGUG